UGGGGAAUAUUGGACAAUGGGCGCAAGCCUGAUCCAGCCAUGCCGCGUGUGUGAAGAAGGCCUUAGGGUUGUAAAGCACUUUCAGUGGGGAGGAAGGGUGUUGUGUUAAUAGCACAGCAUUUUGACGUUACCCACAGAAGAAGCACCGGCUAACUCCGUGCCAGCAGCCGCGGUAAUACGGAGGGUGCAAGCGUUAAUCGGAAUUACUGGGCGUAAAGCGCACGCAGGCGGCUUUUUAAGUCGGAUGUGAAAAGCCCCGGGGCUCAACCUGGGAAUUGCAUCUGAUACUGGGAAGCUAGAGUAUGUGAGAGGGGGGUAGAAUUCCAAGUGUAGCGGUGAAAUGCGUAGAGAUUUGGAGGAAUACCAGUGGCGAAGGCGGCCCCCUGGCACAAUACUGACGCUCAGGUGCGAAAGCGUGGGGAGCAAAACAGGAUUAGAUACCCUGGUAGUCCACGCCGUAAACGAUGUCUACUAGAUGUUCGUGGUCUUGUACCGUGAGUAUCGCAGCUAACGCAUUAAGUAGACCGCCUGGGGAGUACGGUCGCAAGAUUAAAACUUAAAUGAAUUGACGGGGUCAUAGCUGUUUCCU
rnacentral:rRNA from 1 species